rnacentral:rRNA from 1 species
UACGUAGGGUGCGAGCGUUGUCCGGAAUUACUGGGCGUAAAGAGCUCGUAGGUGGUUUGUCGCGUUGUUCGUGAAAACUCACAGCUCAACUGUGGGCGUGCGGGCGAUACGGGCAGACUGGAGUACUGCAGGGGAGACUGGAAUUCCUGGUGUAGCGGUGAAAUGCACAGAUAUCUGGAGGAACACCGGUGGCGAAGGCGGCAUCCUGGACCAACACUGGCGCUGAGUGAGCGAAAGCCAGGGGAGCAAACGGG